UACGGAGGGGGCGAGUGUUGUUCGGAAUUAUUGGGCGUAAAGGGCUCGUAGGCGGUCCAUAGCGUCGGGAGUGAAAAGCUGGGGCUUAACCCCAGUCCUGCUUCCGAUACGGGUGGACUAGAGGUAGGUAGGGGAGAACGGAAUUCCUGGUGUAGCGGUGAAAUGCGCAGAUAUCAGGAGGAACACCGGUGGCGAAGGCGGUUCUCUGGGCCUUACCUGACGCUGAGGAGCGAAAGCAUGGGGAGCAAACAGG
rnacentral:rRNA from 1 species